AUGAAGGGCAAGGCCGACACCUCCAAGAAGGGCGAGGGCAGGCUCAAGGCCGCCGGCGGCGCCAGCAAGAGGAAGAAGGACGCCGCUGCCGCUGGCAAGCCCAAGCGCCCACCCUCCGCCUUCUUCGUCUUCAUGUCUGAGUUCAGGCAGCAGUACAACGCGGAGAACCCCAACAACAAGAGUGUCGCCAACGUGAGCAAGGCGGCGGGUGAGAAGUGGAGAGCUAUGUCUGAUGAGGACAAAGCACCUUAUGUGGAAAAGGCUGAACAGAAGAAGAAGGACUAUGAGAAGACCAAAGCCACCUUUGAUAACAAGGAGAGUGCGAGCUCCAAGAAGGCCAAGACUCAGAACGAUGAGGAGGUCAAAUCUGAGGUCGAAGAUGAGGGUAGCGAUGAGGAAAACGAGGACGAUGAUGAGUAA
rnacentral:rRNA from 1 species